rnacentral:lncRNA from 10 species
UGAGCUCCAGGGAGGGAAGAAGAAAUUUCUUUCGCUUUCUGAGCGGGUGCUUUGGUACAGUACAAUAUCUAUGCUAUAGUAAUAUAUCUAUGGGCUUGACUUCUUCUUCUCCUCGUUUUCCUCUUUCUCCAUCCCCCUCCUUCCUCAUCUCCUUAUUUUUUUUGUUUAUUUGCUUCUUCUAUAGUAAAACUUUCUGAAAGCCAAUGUGCCUGGAUGAUUUUUGCCUGGUACAUUCUGCUAAUUGGAGUUUCAGAAUCACAGUUUCUUGCUUGGGUGCAGAAUUUUCAAAAGUGUUUAAGUGCCUAAAUUAUUGUUGUAGUUGCUGGCCACUGCCCAUGCCUUGUAGACAGGCAGCUGAGAAGGUACCAGAAAAAAAAAAAAAGGCUGCAGGUCUGUACCCUUCACUGUACCAGAAUGCAGAGCCCUACUGAGCUGUAGGAAUGCAGAACCCUACUGAGCUGCUCCUCAUGGAAGGAGCAGCCAUGUUGUACUGAGCUGACAACACGGGCAAUGGAAAGAGCAAACCCAGGGCGUAAAUGGAACCAGGCCCUGGAAGCGUUUGGUUGGGAGUCUCCCAACUGAGCUGAGCCCUGAGAAUAAGAUGGUUCCUUUGGCCAAGUGGCUCUGUGAAAAUGAGGAAGAAUCUGAUCCACGAUGAAGGGCAGCUGUCUUGAGGAAAAAGAUGAAGAAUGGGAGUGUUAUGGAGGGCAUACGCCCCUCUGAUCAUCACCACAAAGGCAAAUAAUCAUUCGAUGAAGGAAAGUACAGACUCCACUUCUGAGAAUACCCUUUUGUAAGGG